rnacentral:lncRNA from 1 species
UUAUGUUCCGUCCGGAGAAGGGGUUGGAGUGCAUCCCACAUAUUUUGUUAUUUGUAAAAUGCUGCCUGAGUAAUUCCGGACAGUCUGUGCUAACUCUUUUACACACUGCAUACGGUUCAUCACACUGUGUGUUCUGUUCUCAAUGACUGUUAUUGUUAUUUAAAAGUCUUUCUUUAUCUGGCUGCAUCGGGUCUCAGUUGCAGCACUGGGGAUCUUUGUUGCUUCCUGUGGUUUCCCUGGUUGUGUCGCUAGGGCGCAGUAGCUAGAGCAAAUGGACUUAGCUGCCCUGAGGCGUGUGGGAUCUUAGUUCCUCAACCAGGGGUCAAACCAGCAUCCCCUGCAUUGCAGGUGGAUUCUUUACCUUUGAGCCACCAGGGCUGGAAUCCAUCCCCAAGCACUAGGUUCUAGCACUUGCCCUUCCAGCUGUAAUCCAGCCUCUGCAUUCCCCACGGCACUCACUCUGGACCCUGGCUUGGACGAGGAGCCCUGAAGAGUUUCCUGAAUGAAGCUGAGGUCGUGCAUGAGGGAGAGAAGCGUGAACACCUCUCCUCGUCUUCCUGGGGUUUUGCUGGGUGAUGGCAGGAAGCGCUUGCCGGGCUUUCAUCAUCAGUACCCAGUCAUGGGUAUUCACGUCUGGAAGGCUUCCAUCACUUGUGUUCUCAAGUCGUUGCAGAAGUGGCUCACAGGGGCCUGGCAGCUUUGCUCCGAAUUUUCCAUCCAGAUAAGCAACAGCGGCUUUCUUUUCGCUGCCUCUGAGAAAACCCUCGGGAGAGGCUGGCCUGGGAUCUUCCCAGUAAAUGCGCAUCUGGCUCUGGGCUGCUGUGAUGGAUAGAGGCAAUUUCCCCGCGAAAUCGGCUGCAGUAUUGGCAGUUGCACGGGACAUCCAUUACAUUCCUGCAGAGAGAGAGCUUUUUCAGGGCACCUCAGGAUGGAGCCAUGCCGCUCACGAUGGGGGUGGGGAAGCAGAAAUAACCUAAAGGGAAAGGCGUCUAUUUUAAUUUUUUGCAGAGCUGCGUCUCCUGCAUAUGGGUCCAGCCCACUCUCGUGAAGUGGCUCCUUUUGGAAAAUAAGGGGACUUGCAAACGGCUUUGUUAAAGGUAAGGACACAAAGAGAAACAGAAGCUCAUGCAAACAGAACCCAGCGCUUCUAUGUGCACAGGCAGGCCCCUUGAUCAAGGAGCCCUUGGUUUUCAUCGGAGACCAGAGAGAUACCACUGAUCAACAUGCUGGAUGCUGAUGCUUUAAAAGCAUUAGGUACUUUAAGUUCAUGAUGUAGAUAUUAUGAUUAUCAUCCCCAUUUUGGGGCUUCCCUGGUGGCUCAGAUGGUAAAGAAUCUGCCUGCAACGCAGGAGACCUGGGUUCGAUCCCUGGGUUGGGAAGAUCCCCUGGAGGAGGAAACGGCUACCCACUCCAGUAUUCUUGCCUGGAGAAUUCCAUGGACAGAGGAGCCUGGCAGGCUAGUCCAUGGGGUUGCAAAGAAUCGGACACGACUGAGUGACUGACACUUCCAUACUUCUUUCAUCUCCAUUUUACAGAUAAGAAAACGGAGGCACAAGGCAAUGAGGUGACUUGCCCAAAGUCAUCUCUUAGUAGGAAGAGGAGCCAGAUUCAAACCCAUGCUCUCUGGAACCCACGUUCACGUUCCUAACGCUCUUUGCUUCUGUCUCUUGCUCAUCUUGGGAAGCCAGACAACUCCCAGAGCUGUAAGUGAGUGGCUCGUUCGCUGGCUCUUAAAUCCCAGAUCCCUGUUUGGUGAACUUGUACUUUUCUCCAGACUCCUUUUUAAAAAAAACUUUUAAUUGAAGUGUAAUUGAUUUACAGUUAUACAACCGAUUUAUAAUUUAUUGAUUUAUAAUUUAUAAGAUUUAUAAUAUAUAAUUUACAAUAUAAUUUGCAUUUUUAUAUAAUUAAAAUGAUUUACAAUAUAAUUGAUUUGUAAUAUAUAAUUGAUUUACAAUUAUGCAAUCAAUCCCUGGGUUGGGAAGAUCCCCUGGAGAAGGGAAAGGUUACCCACUCCAAUAUUCUGGCCUGGAGAAUUCCAUGGACUUUAUAGUCCAUGGGAUCACCAAGAGUCGGACAUGACUGAGCAACUUUCACUUCAGUUCAUACACCUAUAACCAUAUGUAUUCUUUUUCAGAUUCUUUUCCCUUACAGGUUACUAUGUAAUACUGAGUUGAGUUCCCUGUGCUAUACGGUAGGUCCUUGCUGGUUAUCUAUUUUACAUUUUCUAUCUGUUUUAUAAUAGUAUGUAUAUGUUAAUGCCAGCCUCCUCAUUUAUUCCUAAACCUUUCCCCUUUGGUAACCAUAAGUUUGUGUCUGCAGACUCACUUCUUCUUGAGCCUAGACCUUCUUCCUCUGUAUGAAGUCACCUCACUCCCGCUGAAGGGCAGGGUCUGCGGUGAGAAUACAGAGCGUCUGGUCCAGGGCUGGCUGUGGGCGUCAUCGCGGAAGCAUCUUGGCGUCUUGGGAGCUUGGCUUGGCGUCUGGGACCUUGCUCUGAUCGGGGCUCUGGCGAUGUCGCUGGCCUUUGCGUGCGCCUGCUCAGUCACAUCAGCUGUGUCCGAUCCUUUGCGACCUUAUGGACUGUAGCCCACUAGGCUGCUCUGUCCGUGGGGAUUCUCCAGGCAAGAAUACUGGAAUGCAUUGCCAUUGCUCCCUCUGGGGAUCUUCCCGACCCAGGGACUGAACCUGCGUCUCUUAUGCCUCCUGCAUUGACAGGCCGGUUCUUUGUCACUGGGAAACACCUGGCCUUUAGGAUCCAGUCAUUUACCUGGGGCAUCGGACAGUAAGUCAGCACAUAGAAACCCGGGUGAGCGCUCUAACUGGGCGCUACAGCUGGCUCAUGGGCGAUGGGUGUGGGUUUUGAGUUGGAUAACCAGGUGCGGCCUCUCCAAGAAGUGACAUUGAAACUGAAAAUGAGUGGCUUGCAGGGUCUUAGUUCCCGGACCAGAGAUUGGGCCUGGGCCCUCAGCAGUGAAAGCUUGGACCUACCCACUGGACCACCAGGGAAUUCCCCCAAACUGAGAUCUUAAAGUCAAAAUGGAGCCAGCCAUGGGGUGAUCAGAAGGAAGGGCUCCCAUAGUCUUUAGGAUAGGGCUCAGCUGUGAGUGGCUGCAGCCAUCCUCUUGUUACCUAACAGACCCAAAUCCCUCUGUAAGUGAAGUGAAAGUUGCUCAGUCGUGUCCGACUCCACGACCCCAUGGACUAUGCAGCCCAUGGAAUUCUCCAGGCCGGAAUACUGGAGUGGGUAGCGUAUCCCUUCUCCAGGGGAUCUUCCCGACCCAGGAAUCGAACCAGUUGUCUCCUGCACUGCAGGCGGAUUCCUUACCUCUGAGCUAUCAGGGAAGCCCAGUUCCCUCUUUGAUCCCCUGCAAAUGCCAAAACCAUCCCAGGUUUAAUCAAGAGACCUAUGUUUAUUCAACAUAAUUAGCUCAAGAAAGAUAAUCCAGGGGAACUAAUGCCUUCUUUUCUCUGUGUAGCUAGUCGCAUUUUCUAACUUAUGUUUUUGAUUUCUGUGUGUGUCUAAUUUUAUUUUCAAUGAUUGACCUGGAUUUUAGGUUUUAAUAGCCUAAAUAUCAAAUUUUGUUAGUUCAGCUAUACAGUUAAGAUGCUCUUACUCUUUUGCUCUUAAUUAACGGAUACUAUUCAACAAAAGGAGAAGGCAAUGGCACCCCACUCCAGUACUCUUAAAAACAGAAAGAAGGAAGGCUGUUCCAGGGAGAGGAACCUGCACGUGGGCCAGGGCCCCACCGUGGGGGCGGGAUGGGUGUGUGUGGACCAGAGGCAGAG